rnacentral:lncRNA from 1 species
CUGCUGUGUCAUGCAGGCCACCAGGGAAAUGGGUGAAAGCUGGCAGUUAUAGGCCUCACUCAGCCCAAAAGGCUGGUUUCACUUUCACUGUGCUCCCUCAACAGCACCAAGUUUAUUUCCAGGCAGUGGGUGAGCAGGGCUGAAAAGCUGCCCCAGGCUACCAGCCUCCCAGCUGAGAAAGCAAGCAGGGCUUUUAGAUUUCACCUCUCCCCACCUACCAUGGCUUCUGUGCUGUGAUUGCACUCCUGAUUCAACCCCUCCCCUGAUUUCUGUCGGGGAAACUUUGCAUUCGGUCGAAAUUGUUACAAAGUUCAGCUGGAAGUUUCCUUCCCUGUGUGGUUUCUUCCCGGUUCCUCUGGCAGCCCUCCCCAAGGACUUCUGUAAGACAAAGUCGGAAGUUACUUCCUUGGGGACCGAGAGCCCACAGGGGUCUUCCUACUGCUUCUUCUACCCCUGUAUUUCACUCAGCUCUCUAAAUUUGUCUCAGCUCCAGGAAGGCAGGGAUUUCAACCUGGGCAACAAGUCCACAGAACAUGAGAUUUCUGAAGGUGUGUGGGAUACAUCAUGGUUACAUAAAAAUCCUUUCACUAUAGUUCCUGCUUCCCUAUCUUCAAAAUGAUUCCCUGAAGACUUCCGCCAUGACGGUCUAAAGCCUAACCUCUGAACUGUGGAUGGAAAAUUGAACUCCUUGAUGUGAUCUCUGCACAUCAUGCAACCCUAAACCUAAAUAUAUUCUCUGUGUGGGAGCCCC